rnacentral:lncRNA from 10 species
AAGAGAAAUAAAGAGGAAGCACCACAGUCAACUAAAAAAGAGAGAUUCCCAGCAACCUACACAACCAUUUCUAUAGGCUCUCAGCUGAUGCUUAGUGUUUGGACAACUCACACAUGCAGAUUGACAGAUGACCAACUUAUAAAAGAGAUUUUUAAUAAUUCUUAAUGAUUUCACAGGGUGUUGUCAAUGGAAAUAUGGAUUCUUCUACAGCAAACAUGUACAUCUAUAUCAUGUGGAACAAGGAUAGUGGGAAAACCUCUGAUUGUGAGGACGUAGAACUGAGAAGAGCAUAUGAAAUGUCAUAAGAAAAACACUUCUGGAGCAUGUCGUCUUCAAGAAAAUGGUGCCCAGACAGUCAGGAUUGUGUUACAUUUUAAUAGGAAUGGGGAUAUUUGUGAUAUACUGACAAACCAAGACAGGUGACUAUAAAACUGCAAUGUAAAGUGUCAGCUUCUCCUCACACCUUUAUAGUAGACAUCUGAGAACCUCACUCCUGUCAGCAUAUUCUUGGGGUUGAAUCUCAAGUGAUCCAUAGAAUCUUAGAUAAAGCAGAUGAAAAUAGGCUUUUCUGUCUUCCU